rnacentral:rRNA from 1 species
GACGUAGGGCGCGAGCGUUGUCCGGAUUUAUUGGGCGUAAAGAGCUCGUAGGCGGCUUGUUGCGUCAGGUGUGAAAUCCCUCGGCUCAACCGAGGAAUGGCGCUUGAUACUGCAAGGCUUGAGGGAGACAGGGGUAAGCGGAACUGAUGGUGGAGCGGUGAAAUGCGUUGAUAUCAUCAGGAACACCGGUGGCGAAAGCGGCUUACUGGGUCUCUUCUGACGCUGAGGAACGAAAGCUAGGGGAGCGAACGGG